GUCGAGGGGUAGAAAGCAAUAUUUGAGACCGGCGCACGGGUGCGUAACGCGUAUGCAAUCUACCUUUUACAGAGGGAUAGCCCAGAGAAAUUUGGAUUAAUACCUCAUAGUAUAGUGAGUUGGCAUCAACACACUAUUAAAGUCACAACGGUAAAAGAUGAGCAUGCGUCCCAUUAGCUAGUUGGUAAGGUAACGGCUUACCAAGGCAACGAUGGGUAGGGGUCCUGAGAGGGAGAUCCCCCACACUGGUACUGAGACACGGACCAGACUCCUACGGGAGGCAGCAGUGAGGAAUAUUGGUCAAUGGGCGCAAGCCUGAACCAGCCAUGCCGCGUGCAGGAUCGCGGUCCUAUGGAUUGUAAACUGCUUUUGCACAGGAAGAAACACUACCUCGUGAGGUAGCUUGACGGUACUGUGAGAAUAAGGAUCGGCUAACUCCGUGCCAGCAGCCGCGGUAAUACGGAGGAUCCAAGCGUUAUCCGGAAUCAUUGGGUUUAAAGGGUCCGUAGGCGGCCAGAUAAGUCAGUGGUGAAAGCCCAUCGCUCAACGAUGGAACGGCCAUUGAUACUGUUUGGCUUGAAUUAUUUGGAAGUAACUAGAAUAUGUAGUGUAGCGGUGAAAUGCUUAGAGAUUACAUGGAAUACCAAUUGCGAAGGCAGGUUACUACAAAUUGAUUGACGCUGAUGG
rnacentral:rRNA from 1 species